rnacentral:rRNA from 1 species
CAAAGCCCAUCGGAGUUACAAUAAAGUGGCUCCUGUGACUGUUUAGCAAAAACACAUGUCUCUGCUAACUCGCUGAGAGGAAGUAUAGGGACUGACACCUGCCCGGUGCUGGAAGGUUAAGGGGAAUUGUCAUCCCCGUAAGGGGAGAAGCUCUGAACCGAAGCCCCAGUAAACGGCGGCCGUAACUAUAACGGUCCUAAGGUGACUUCGUUGCCUUAGUAAAAUCUAGCCAUAUGCUGGAAAACCUGAGUAUACCUUCCUACCUCUUCAUGUGAAAAUCUUAUUUAUUUUAAAAAAUAAUGAAAGAUUUUCUCAACUUAUACGUAUAUAUAAGUGAGGGGGUGAAAAUGGAAUGGUUGCAGACAAUCAGCAGGAAAGGCUAAUUAAAUUAGGUUGGGUGGUUGGUUUUGUAGAUGGAGAGGGUUGUUUUAGUAUUGGUUUCGUAAAACAGCCUAAUCAUAAUAAACGAAAAGGCUACAAAACAGGUUAUCAAGUAAGCCACGAGUUCGCAGUAACACAGGGUGUGAAAAGUAUAAAAAGUCUGUAUAUACUUGCUGACUUUUUUAGGGUUGGACAAGUGAUAGUUAAUAAUCGACAUGACAACCAUAAAGAGCAUUUAUAUCGUUAUGUUGUUAGAAAACGGGAGGAUUUAGUAAAUGUGAUAAUCCCGUUUUUUAGAAGACAUAAGAUGCGGUCAGCAAAAUGCAUGGAUUUUGAGAAAUUUGCACAAUGUGUAGAAUUAAUGGAGAAGAAGAUCCAUUUGUCUCGUGACGGUUUGAUAAAGAUAGCGAAAAUUACUCAAACCAUGAAUAGAAGAAAGUCCCGCCGUAAUUUAAUUAGAAUCCUCAGAGACCGUACGCUAGAUUCGCCAUAAGACUUUGGCGAAAAGAUAUGGUCCCAUCUGCAUGGCGACAUGCAGGAGCGAAAAAAUCGCUCGCUCAAUUUAAAGUUGAGUAAGAUUAUAAGCGAAAUUCCUUGUCGGGUAAGUUCCGACCCGCACGAAUGGUGUAACAAAAGGAGCGCUGUCUCAACAGGGGAAUCGGUGAAAUUGUAGCAGCGGUGAAGAUGCCGCGAACCCGUGGCUAGACGAAAAGACCCCGGAACCUUUACUGUACUCUGGUACUGGACUUUGGUUCGAUAUGUGUAGGAUAGGUGGGAGGCUUUGAAGCUCGAGCGUUAGCUUGAGUGGAGCCAACGGUGAAAUACCACCCUUAUUUAACUAGGGUUCUAACCCGCAGCCGUGAAUCCGGCUGGGGGACAAUGCCAGACGGGCAGUUUGACUGGGGCGGUUACCUCAAUUAUGGGGUCUAUGAUAGGAAACUAUCAUAAGCAAAUUCAGCUAUAUGCUGGAAUAUCUGAGUAUCCUCGCAUACUUAUAAGAAAGUGAAAAUUGUGAGGUGCAGACAAUCAGCAGGGAAGCUCCGAAAGUUCGGAGCCCCUCAACGACUAUACGCUGAAUCCCGAAAAUCGGGAAUGAUAUAGUCUGAACUUCCGGGCGACCGGAAGCCCUUUUAGAAGGGAGUCUAGCCUCCUAAGGAAUUAGGAGGCAAACAAUGCGAUCGAAGAAAAUCGAAAAUUAUAAAACACAACUAAGAUUGAAUGCUGAGCAAAAAGAAGUUCUUAUGGGCAUUCUAUUAGGAGACGCAACGUUAGAAACGCAAAACGGCGGCAGAACUUAUAGAAUGAAAAUAGAACACAGCAUUAGUCAAAAGAUCUACCUCGAGCAUUUGUAUUGCGUAUUCAAAGAAUGGGUAUUAACUCCGCCAAGACUUAAAGCUGUAACACUAUCUAAUGGAAAGAUCUAUACGAAUGUCGUUUUUUCAACAUUGAGCCAUUCGAGUUUUAGAUUCUAUGCUCAUCAAUUCUACGAUGACAAACAUAAGGUAGUACCGCGGCUUAUAAAUCGAUGGCUGACGCCAAAAGCCGUUGCUUAUUGGUUUAUGGAUGACGGUUCGAUAAAGUCAAAACAGUCUAAGGGCGUAAUUUUUAAUACUCAGGGGUACACAAUACAAGAUGUAUUGCGGCUAGUAAGAGUUUUAAAGGAAAAAUUUCGAUUAGAAUCAAAGGCACGAAAGCAAAAAGAAGGGUAUCAAAUAUACGUCUCCGGUAGAAGCUAUGAACAAUUCAAAAAUAUCGUUUCUCCGUAUAUACUGCCAGAAAUGAGAUAUAAGAUACCAGAGGCUAGACGAACAUAUUUGCCUAAAUUGUAACGGAGGUGUUCAAAGGUUUCCUCAGUGCGGUCGGCAAUCGCACGUAGAGCGUAAAGGUAUAAGGAAGCUUAACUGCGAGACCUACAAGUCGAGCAGAUACGAAAGUAGGACUUAGUGAUCCGGCGGUAGAAUGUGGAAUCGCCGUCGCUCAACGGAUAAAAGGUACUCCGGGGAUAACAGGCUUAUCUUCUCCAAGAGUUCAUAUCGACGAGAAGGUUUGGCACCUCGAUGUCGGCUCAUCACAUCCUGGGGCUGAAGAAGGUCCCAAGGGUCCGGCUGUUCGCCGGUUAAAGUGGUACGUGAGCUGGGUUCAGAACGUCGCAAGACAGUAAGUAAAAUGACCGUUUGCUGUCUUUAAAAUUGGCUAUAUGCUGGAAAAUCCCGUGUAUCUGAAGGUACUAAUUUAAUAAAUUCGAAAUCCGAAUAUCGAAUUUCGGAUUUUGUACUUCGAGUUUAAAUUAGUAAAAAUUCUUCAGUGGGGACAAUCAGCAGGGAAGUCGUAAUUGACCCCUCAGAGACUAUACGCCAGUCAUCUGAAAAAGAUGAAGAUAUAGUCCGAGCUGCGUAGCGAUACGCAGAGAUUGGCAGAAAUGUCCAAUCCUCCCGCUAGCAGCGGGAAGUAACAAAACUGUCGGUCUCUAUCUGCCAUGGGCGCAGGAAAUCUGCGAGGAUACUUCCUCAGUACGAGAGGACCAGGAAGUACGUGCCACUGGUGCUCCAGUUAUCGCGCCAGCGGUAAAAGCUGGGUAGCUAUGCACGGAAAGGAUAAGCGCUGAAGGCAUAUAAGCGCCAAGCCCCCCUCAAGACUAGAUUUCCCUCCCCGCAAGGGGACUAAGACACCUUGAAGACUACAAGGUUGAUAGGCCAGAUGUGUAAGACCCGCGAGGGUUUGAGCUUACUGGUACUAAUCUGUCGAAAGGCUUGACCAU